CAGAGGCAGCGGCAGUGUUAGUCGCACUGGAAGCUGUUUCUUUUUAUUAAUAGCAAUUAGUUGGAUGGCGAAAAAAAGGCAACAAAUCGGUUGUUUUAUGUGGCGCAAAAUUUGCGGUUUCCAUGUGGCGCUGAUGCGAAAUCGCUGUAAAUGAACCACCACUCGACUCGACUGUGUGAGCGGAGAUAUAUGCUUGUCAAGUCGAAAAUUAUUCGUACCGGCAUUCGGACGGCUUGAACUCGAUUGAACCCAAAGCGAAUUGCGAGUACGUAUCAGCAGCGACUCCCCCGGAGAUUGUCAAAUAUCAAGAUGGCACAGUCAGAUAAAGCCAAUUAUCCAGCACACAAACAAGUAAGACGGGCAAAGAAAAGCAAUAACAGUGAGACUGCACAAUUACUAAUUGCAUUUUAGAUUGAGGCCUGUCAAAAGCCAAGGCAAUUGCAGCAAAUUUGAUUUUCAAAUGAGCCUGCAAUCAGUGGAUCAGCAGCCGCUCGAUGACGUCCACUUACGCGGGGGUCUGAUAACAGAGAAGCCCCUUUUACUUAUCACUCCAGUCAGCGAAGAAGCCCCCAUGGCCAACCAUUGCUCUUAUCUGGCAAACAUUUCGUUGUGAAAGUGACGCAGUCUCAGAUACAAAUGCGGCAAUUGCCCUGCUUUACAAAAAAAAAAACCAAAACGGAGCAAGACAACCGCAGUUUUUGUUUACCCAAAAUUCUUUGGCAAUGCUUGGCCAGGCCAUGUCAUAACCUUAGCCUAGACCUCACACAUCACCCAGUCACCCAGCUACCCUAUCCCCUAAUCACCCACUCAUCCACAUAUCCCUGCCCUCCGAAAAAGGACACCCACUCAGUGGCAGGCGAGGUCGUCGGAGAUAUAAAUUACCAUAGUCAAGUGGAACGGUCUGGUUUGGCCUGCCGCUUGCAACAUUUUUGGCCCAGAAGUCGAGACCCACUGCUGACUGCUGACUGCUGGCUUUUUCAUGGCUUCCGUCGCCACAGUCGUUGCCAAAAUCAAUGAAAUUUUCAACUUCCGCUGUCAUUGCGCCCAUCCCGCCCGACAUUCGAGCCAAGUGGGGAUUGUAAAAUUGGGCCGGCGAGGCAAUAAUUGUUAUUAUACCAUCCGUUUGUCUGGUAUUUAUUUUGCAUAUGUGCUUGCAUACGGGUAUUGGCCAAAUUUUAAGGCAAAAUCGUUAGGCAGAUGGGCUUGUCAUUACUCUGAACUGUUUGCUGAACUGUUUACAUAUUGCAAAUAAUGCUCCGAAUUCCUUUUGGUAACAAUUUUUUUUUUUAGCCUUAGAGAGGCCUCUCAAUUUCACAGAAAGUAUGCAAAUGCUCGCAUGAUGAGAGAAAUGCCUUAAUUUCACACUUUAUAUUCAUUUUUUUCAAAAACGUUCGAACAUGACAAUACAAUAUCCAGUUUGUUUCAAUGUUGAUUUUAAUUGCUUGGAAAAGCUUUACUUCCUUCAAAUACGCGAUUUGUUAAAGAAAUAAAGUUUAUGCAGUCAAUUUGUUAUAAGAAAUUCCAUUUUAAAAUAUUUGAACUCUACAUGUAUUUCAACAUUGGUUUAUUAAUUAAUGACUAUUUAUAGCUUUGUUUCAUGGCCAAGAUUUGUCAUUUAAAUAGCUUCUCAAACAUAAGAUACUGGCCUGCAAAUAAGUCUGGCACUAUCUUUGCGAAUUGUCAAGUACAUAUCACAUCAGCUGACUGGGAGAUAGCAGAUAUUGUUUAAUGUUUACAUAGGCCUACGAUAUCCAGCAAAAUCGUUCUUUUUAUAGAGCAUUGCCGUUCCACUGAGGCCCAAUUUCUAAAUUCUCAUGUAUUUAGUAUUUUGUUUGCACUGCUUCCUGACUGUAAGCAAAAAAGAAUUUCGAAUGCCUUUGGAAGGUCAGCUGGGCCAAAAAAGUGGGCCUAGUGGCGGUGGACAGGCUUUUGGCGAGUCAAAUUAAAAUUCAUUUUAUGUGGUCUGGAGAGUGGAAAGCUGAGGGCGUUAUGUAAGCCUUUGUUUUGUGGGUGGGAAAUGUAAUAAUUCCGCAAUGACCCUCAAAGCAGGUGGAAAUAAUUGCGCAAGCGUUUCCACCGGGCCGGCGGUAAAUUGAAUUUGGCCCGCCUGAAAGGAAAUCUGCAACUGCAGCGAAAAUCUCGGGUCAUCAAUUCGCUAUUCGGCAUGACUGCAAGGAUGCGAAGGACCUGGGUCUGGGCAUUCCAGUGCUGCGACUAAACUACACGAGACACAUUCCGUUUGGCAAAACAUAAAUCUGGCAGCCAGCACACACAAGUGUGCCCUCCCAAAAAGAAAACCCUGGCUUGCCCCCCAAAAAAGAAAACAAACACACAAACAGUGAAAUGAGAGAACAAACAAAUAGUCAGAGAUGCGAUUGCGACUACACAUGCAGAUACAGAUACUGGUGCAGAUGCGGAUACAGAUACAGACACGGAUCCAGAUACUCCUGCUGCAAUCGCAUGCAGAAAUGCUGAAAACAUUGGAGGACAUGUGUAAUUUCUCACGUGCAACUGCGGGGUCUCUCUCUUUGUUGAUUCCCAUCCCGCCACUUUACCACUUCUUCACACAAUUGGGGGAGAAAUGGCGGAAGGACGCCCAGCUGAAGACAAACAAAAUGCCAAAUGAAACAAACAAUAAAAAUGUUUGUAUGUACGUAGGUAGCAGCAGCGGCGAGCAUAAAAGCAAAGUGCUUAAAAAAUAAUAGUAAAUUACACAGACAAGCACCGGGUGCCCGGCCACGACACGCCCCCUUUUUGCAACAUACAGCCAUGCAUGACAAGCUUGCGUUAUUUUGGGGCAAGCUGAUUUAAUCCCGGGCAGCAGGAGCUGCACAAGCAGCAAGGACGAAGGCGGUGGCACCUCGUGCCCAGACGGCCGUUGGGCGGGGGGGCGUUGAAGGGUUAACGCUUUGCUCACCUGUCGUGGCCCAAAACGCCGCGAUUUGCAACGCCCCACCUGGUGAAAUCAGUGGGCGGAGGACCUUUGGCUGGGAGAUGGAAAUUAGGAGGGGUCAACGGAUUGCCCUAACGUUUUUUCGGCUGCUCGCCUUUCGCGGCACAUUUAAAUUCAAAGGGAAUUCCACUUUCGGCGGAUUAUAUGCAAUUUCCUUCGCCGAAACACUCAAAUUGUUUUACUCACCAUUUGCGAUAUGAGAAUUCAUGGCACAUGGUACAAGUUUUCCGCUUCUGAUUAUGCCAAAUGAGAUGAUUCCGUCGAAACGGCAGUGAGUGCUGCUGCAAUGGAGAGUCCAGAGCCAGAGACUCAUCCUCGGCUGGGAUACAAAUGUUUUCAUUAAAUUCGGUUUGUUUGGUGGUUUCUUUUGUGACCCGCUUUGUUCUCAGUCGCCAUUAUGGGGUCCAUUGCUGCCAUUUGCUACCGGCGGAAGGCCACCCAUCUGCCACCACCCACUUUUGUUGCCAAGCUGGAACACUAAACAAUACAGCAAAAUUACUUAAUUUCAUGUUGGUCUAAUCAAGUUGCCAUUGCCGAGCAGGUAAGCGACGAGUGUGUGGCUGGCUGGCACGGAACGUCCUCCGCACAAAGGUGGCCAGCGGGAGCUGGAGCAGCAGAACCAUCUGCUGCGGGGGAGGAGGGCAGCUGAGGGUCCUCGGUGGCAGCCCUGCUGUACUCAAAUAAUUUGCCGUUACCGUGCACCUUUAAUGUGCCUACACUUCAAGGAUUUUGUAAUUACCAUUAAAAAUGUUAUUAAGUUUUCAAGUUAUAA